UUGAAUUUUGAAAGUACUCCAUGUUUACCGGGGUGGUCGACUCGAGAGACAUUCAAACACGUAGGGGAUCUUCCUCUCAGAGUUCGGGUUGUACUUCGAGCCGAUAUCGCCGCACGGAGCAAGAUGCCGUCAUCGAGAAUCUGCAAGAGGCGCUGAGGGCGCAAAACGAGUAUAACUUAUGGCAGCAAGAGUACCAGAGGCAGCAGCAAGAUUGGAUUGCUUCGGUGUUACAGCAGCAGCAUGGCCAUGGAAAUAUCUUGCCACCGCCACCACCACUGCCACCUCCGCCAGUGUUGCCUGAGUUAUAUCCUCUGAGACCUCCUGCAGCCGAGGGAUCAGGAGUAAAUGUGAGAGACAUCAGCCAAUCCCCUCCAGCACAAGUACGAA